AAUACAUGCAAGUCGAACGCUUUGUGGUUCAACUGAUUUGAAGAGCUUGCUCAGAUAUGACGAUGGACAUUGCAAAGAGUGGCGAACGGGUGAGUAACACGUGGGAAACCUACCUCUUAGCAGGGGAUAACAUUUGGAAACAGAUGCUAAUACCGUAUAACAAUAGCAACCGCAUGGUUGCUACUUAAAAGAUGGUUCUGCUAUCACUAAGAGAUGGUCCCGCGGUGCAUUAGUUAGUUGGUGAGGUAAUGGCUCACCAAGACGAUGAUGCAUAGCCGAGUUGAGAGACUGAUCGGCCACAAUGGGACUGAGACACGGCCCAUACUCCUACGGGAGGCAGCAGUAGGGAAUCUUCCACAAUGGGCGAAAGCCUGAUGGAGCAACGCCGCGUGUGUGAUGAAGGGUUUCGGCUCGUAAAACACUGUUGUAAGAGAAGAAUGACAUUGAGAGUAACUGUUCAAUGUGUGACGGUAUCUUACCAGAAAGGAACGGCUAAAUACGUGCCAGCAGCCGCGGUAAUACGUAUGUUCCAAGCGUUAUCCGGAUUUAUUGGGCGUAAAGCGAGCGCAGACGGUUAUUUAAGUCUGAAGUGAAAGCCCUCAGCUCAACUGAGGAAUUGCUUUGGAAACUGGAUGACUUGAGUGCAGUAGAGGAAAGUGGAACUCCAUGUGUAGCGGUGAAAUGCGUAGAUAUAUGGAAGAACACCAGUGGCGAAGGCGGCUUUCUGGACUGUAACUGACGUUGAGGCUCGAAAGUGUGGGUAGCAAACAGGAUUAGAUACCCCUGGUAGUCCACACCGUAAACGAUGAGUGC
rnacentral:rRNA from 1 species